CUUUUUCAGGUUUUGGGAUUUGGACUUUUGGAGUGGCAGAGGAAGAAGGAUCAAAUUACGUUAAUGAUGCAACAUCUAAGGCUAUCGUUAUGGUUGACAUUGUUCGUAUUGGCGUGUACACCGACAAGCCCUAGGAGAAGGGGUCUGAAGAGUAUCACAUCAGAACGAGUCUCACCUCCGUCAUCGGCAGUGAAGAGGUUGCGUAGGAGGCUCUGAUUUGCUGUUACAAGAAUGCUCCCACCAAAGUUGUCGAUAACUUUCAAAGGCAGAAAAACCAGGUGUUGUUCAGGUUGUUUGAAAUCAGGACUCUACUCUGCUGGUUUCUGGACAUGAAAAGCUACCCUAGAAGAAGCUACUCAAUUACAAGUAAAACUGUGGUUUAAUGAGGAGUAUGCUGACAUGAUUGUCAGGGUUAAAAUGAUAGGAUUCAAUUGUGCGAUCGUCCUGCAAAUUCUCUGUUUCAACACAGUGGAGAGUUUGCCUUUCAACAGGUACGUAGUAGUACUCUGCAAUCCUCUCUUUCAAAUCAAGAAUAGUUGCAGACAGCGGCAUCUGAGUAUAAAAAAUUAAUUCAGUUCCUUGAGAAAAUCCAGUUCCAAUGAUCUCGAAUGUCACCCCAGCAGCAGCCAUGACGAACCAGAAGUGUCUUCAAUAAUUUUUAUGGGAUUCUUACUUCUUUUUUUCAGAACUGAUUUGUGUUAUUCUAUGUGAAGAAGUCAUGCAGAAAAGAAGCAAAUUAAGAAAUAUGAAUGGCAUGACAUUAUAAUGUC